rnacentral:piRNA from 1 species
UAAAACAGGGUGAGUUCUCCUCUAUGUAGG